GUGAAGGUGUGUCGUGAGGCAUGCUGGAGGUAUCAGAAGUGCGAAUGCUGACAUAAGUAACGAUAAAGCGGGUGAAAAGCCCGCUCGCCGGAAGACCAAGGGUUCCUGUCCAACGUUAAUCGGGGCAGGGUGAGUCGACCCCUAAGGCGAGGCCGAAAGGCGUAGUCGAUGGGAAACGGGUUAAUAUUCCCGUACUUGGUGUUACUGCGAAGGGGGGACGGAGAAGGCUAUGUUGGCCGGGCGACGGUUGUCCCGGUUUAAGCGUGUAGGUGUGUGUUCCAGGUAAAUCCGGUUCACUUUAACACUGAGGCGUGACGACGAGGCACUACGGUGCUGAAGCAACAAAUGCCCUGCUUCCAGGAAAAGCCUCUAAGCAUCAGGUAACAUCAAAUCGUACCCCAAACCGACACAGGUGGUCAGGUAGAGAAUACCAAGGCGCUUGAGAGAACUCGGGUGAAGGAACUAGGCAAAAUGGUGCCGUAACUUCGGGAGAAGGCACGCUGACACGUAGGUGAAGUGAUUUACUCAUGGAGCUGAAGUCAGUCGAAGAUACCAGCUGGCUGCAACUGUUUAUUAAAAACACAGCACUGUGCAAACACGAAAGUGGACGUAUACGGUGUGACGCCUGCCCGGUGCCGGAAGGUUAAUUGAUGGGGUCAGCGCAAGCGAAGCUCCUGAUCGAAGCCCCGGUAAACGGCGGCCGUAACUAUAACGGUCCUAAGGUAGCGAAAUUCCUUGUCGGGUAAGUUCCGACCUGCACGAAUGGCGUAAUGAUGGCCAGGCUGUCUCCACCCGAGACUCAGUGAAAUUGAACUCGCUGUGAAGAUGCAGUGUACCCGCGGCAAGACGGAAAGACCCCGUGAACCUUUACUAUAGCUUGACACUGAACAUUGAGCCUUGAUGUGUAGGAUAGGUGGGAGGCUUUGAAGCGUGGACGCCAGUCUGCGUGGAGCCGACCUUGAAAUACCACCCUUUAAUGUUUGAUGUUCUAAC
rnacentral:rRNA from 1 species